rnacentral:rRNA from 1 species
AUUGAACGCUGGCGGCAGGCCUAACACAUGCAAGUCGAACGAGUGGCGGACGGGUGAGUAAUGUCUGGGAAACUGCCUUAUGGCGGGGGAUAACUACUGGAAACGGUAGCUAAUACCGCAUACCAUCGGAUGUGCCCAGAUGGGAUUAGCUAGUAGGUGGGGUAACGGCUGACCUAGGCGACGAUCCCUAGCUGGUCUGAGAGGAUGACCAGCCACACUGGAACUGAGACACGGUCCAGACUCCUACGGGAGGCAGCAGUGGGGAAUAUUUCACAAUGGGCGCAAGCCUGAUGCAGCCAUGCCGCGUGUAUGAAGAAGGCCUGCGGGUUGUAAAGUACUGUCAGCGGGGAGGCGUUACCCGCAGAAUAAGCACCGGCUAACUCCGUGCCAGCAGCCGCGGUAAUAC